rnacentral:rRNA from 1 species
UACAGAGGGUGCGAGCGUUAAUCGGAAUUACUGGGCGUAAAGCGCACGUAGGCGGCUUGGUAUGUCGGGUGUGAAAUCCCCGGGCUCAACCUGGGAACUGCAUCCGAAACUGCCUUGCUAGAGUAUGGGAGAGGGAAGUGGAAUUUCCGGUGUAGCGGUGAAAUGCGUAGAUAUCGGAAGGAACAUCAGUAGCGAAGGCGACUUCCUGGACCAAUACUGACGCUCAGGUGCGAAAGCGUGGGGAGCAAACAGG